GAUUCGCCCGCCGCGCGCGGCGGGCGGGGCGGGGGCACGGGGGGACUCCUACGGGAGGCAGCAGUGGGGAAUAUUGCACAAUGGGGGAAACCUUGAUGCAGCAACGGCGCGUGAGUGAAGAAGGCCUUCGGAUUGUAAAGCUCUGUCGUAUGGGACGAUAAUGACGGUACCAUACAAGAAAGCCACGGCUAACUACGUGCCAGCAGCCGCGGUAAU
rnacentral:rRNA from 1 species